rnacentral:rRNA from 1 species
CGCGUAGGUGGUAGUGCAAGUCUGAGGUGGAAUCCCAGGGCUUAACCCUGGAACUGCCUUGGAAACUGCACUACUUGAGUCAGUGAGGGGAGGGUAGAAUUCCUGGUGUAGCGGUGAAAUGCGUAGAUAUCAGGAGGAAGGCCGGUGGCGAAGGCGGCCCUCUGGCGCUGAACUGACACUGAGGCGCGAAAGCGUGGGUAGCAAACAGGAUUAGAUACCCUGGUAGUCCACGCCCUAAACGGUGGGUACUAGGUGUAGGGCUCGUAAGGGUUCUGUACCGAAGCGAAAGCAUUAAGUACCCCGCCUGGGGAGUACGGCCGCAAGGUUGAA